ensembl:lncRNA
CGAUAGGACUUGGAGCAAUAAUGGUGGUUUGGAGUCCAAGGAGACAUCUCCAAUUCCUUUGUUUUGUCCGUUCAACAGCCCAAAAUCCCAACGUGAGUCGAUAAAGGGGAGACUUCUUCUCCUCUCAGGGUUCAUGGUGUCGUUGGGCAUUUGGACGGUGCUGACCGUGAUGCCGCCGUACAAACAGAUCAGUGUGUGUAAGAAGCCUGUGAGUCCAUGCUGCUCUCCCUUCUCCUUUAUCCUCUCCUCCUCUAGUCUCACCCUUCUCACCCUCUCGCUUUAAUCAGCUCUCGCUCUGUCCAGUGCUGCUGUAGUAAGCUACGGCAUUAUACAGUCUGUGCAUGUGUAUGAAUGUGUGUGUGUGUGUUGUGGAGAUCUGUCUGUCCCUUCAUUUGUCCAGUUGUUACUCAUCAUGCCUGCGUUAUUCAUCUUCACCCAUACAGUCUUAAACACCAAUGUACCAAUGCACCAAAGUGUGCUUUCAACAAGACAUUUAUAAGAAGCUGUGAUGGUUUACUGCCCAUAUCAAGUUUGCUGACAUUUGCACCACGCUGGAGCUCGAGAUGCUCAGUGUGUAGAUCAGGUAUGUUUCUCAUCGGGAGGCUCCGUCUUAAGGAGUUUGUCCAUCUGUUGACCACAGACGUCCGGUGUGACACAGAGACGCUACGACCACUGCUCAAAUGUCUCUCUCUGACACUUAAUUUCUUCCCCUUUUCUCUCCUUUUUAAUCUAUUGCUUCACUUCAACAUCUCUGUCUCUCCCUCUGCUUCAUGUCACUUUCCUCUUUGUCAGACUCACACACGCACAUACAAACACACGUAGUCUCCUCCGGCUAAGCGGUGACACACCGUGUAUACAGAGUGGAUGUGUGUGUGUUUUGGUGCACACUUGAUUUUGUGCAUUGAUGUGCAUCUAAGUAAGUGAUUUGGUAUAUUAAUCAUUCAAGUCUUUUAUCAAACAGAAAUGUCAAUUAAUCGCUGGCUUCACAUUCUCACAUGUUGACGCUUUGUUACUCCUCUACACCUUCAAUCAUUGCAAAUUUAAAGGCGUCGCUUUGGCAAAUUUAAUGAAUAUUUUUCACAAUUGCGACAGUGUAUCUUGAAAUACAUUAAAUAGGCUCUGAACAUGAGAUAACUGCCCCGGUCAGUAUAAAAGAAAACUCCUGGUUAACUUGCAGUGAGCAUUUAUUUCAGUGCUUUUCUGUCAUUUUAACAUAUAACAAAUCUCUAAUGUCACCUUAGAGUCGUGGAACCUUACUGGUCACAAUAGUAAUCAACUUGAAACUGAGACUUGUGAUAAUUUGACACUUUAUGCUUUAGUAUCUUUAUAAGCGGUUGCAUGUUUGUUUACGUGCUGUAAGUAAAGAUGCUUGGGCGAGCUUCUUAUUAGCCAGGAAGUGAUCUCACACUCGCAGUGCUCCUCUGGCGUUCAUGCUGUCACUUUCUUCUUCUUCUUCUUCUUCUCUUCUUCUUCUUCUUCUUCUUCUUCUUCUUCUUCUUCUUCUUCUUCUUCUUCUUCUUCUUCUUCUUCUUCUUCUUCAAAGAUCUCCUUUUCUCCUCACACAGCACUAAUGACACAGUGUGGCUUCAAACCCUCCAUUCUGGCUCUAUUUAUAAAACGGCUAGUUGCCGUGGCACUGACUCACUGUCAGCAAGCGGCAUUGAAACUGACUUCGCCACACACACACACACACACACACACACACACACGUAAAAAACCCUAAUACGAGUACAUAGACAAACACAGACACCAAAGGAUCACAGAGUUGUGGGAAGGCCUUAACCUCUUCGCAGCCAGCGUUGCUGUGGAGACGGGGAUUCAGGAAGCUGGGCUUUGCCAGCGGUCUAGCUGGGGGCCAGCUGCAGGCGGAGGAGGAUGUUUUUGGCAACACUAGCCCUGAUGGAAAACCCAGCCGCUGUGUCGGACUCAUUGCAUCGUGUAUAGAAACAUUCCCACUCUGUGACGCCGCUUGGUCGCUCCACAGUUUAAUCUGCUGCAGCCCUGGUGGGGGGAGGGGGGGGGGCCUGCUCAUUGCAGCCAGCAGAACUUAGUAACCCUGUGAAGUGCUCACACUUUAAACUGGUUGUUGAGUUUCUCAUGGACCAGAGGGACUGUUCUUCUGUCAGUGGGUUGGGGUAGGGUAGAGUUGAGUUAGGUUGGGUAAGGUUGGGGUAGGGUUGGUAGGGUUAGGUUGGGGUAGAGUGGGGUUGGGUUAGGGUUGGGUUGGGGUAGAGUGGGGUUGGGUUAGGGUUGGGUUGCGUUAGGUUGGGUUAGGGUUGGGUUAGGGUUGGGUUGCGUUAGGGUUGGGUUAGGGUUGGGUUGGGUUGGGUAGGGUUGGGUUUGGGGUUGUUAGACCCGGACCACUGGUGGAUUUACUUCCAUUUCAAAAGUUUACAUCCAUUUUACAGAAACAAAUAUUGUUUGCUUAAGAGCUGUUUUCACUUUAAAGUAACGAUUAGAAGCACAUUUGAUUUCUUUUUGAUUGUGACUUAACUUAUAAUGAAGUAUUUCAAAUGUUUAAUCAGUGUCACUGGUUACACAACAUACAAUCAGUUCUGACAAUGUGCUGUAGAUUAAACUCUCCAUGAGUACUUGAAGUAGUUCAGAUGAACUUCACCUAACAUGAUGUACAGUAUAGUCAUAUAGAUCUUUAACUUAACUGUAGGUAUAUUUUGUAUUUCUGUAAACUACUUAAAAUUUCUCCUGGUAUUGUCUUUAGCAAAGAAAUUAGCACACCACUGAAUACACAGUGAAGAUGGAUAUAUAGGAAUAUUCAGGAUGAGCUGGUUGUCAAACUCAUUACUCCAGAAGUCCACAGCGACGCUCACCAACCCGAGACUCCCUGUGGAGCAGUGAUGGCCAAUUCAUUCUCUCAGGACAGGUAUUGAUUUUGUGAUGGACAGAUCAGAGCAUCAGGUCCCUAGAGUGCCACACGCGCACGCACACACACACACACACACACACACACAGACCAAAAUGCAUUCACUAGCCUUUACACUGGCAAAAAGCAAAUUCUAAACUCAACCGUGAAACCAAGUCUGAACCCUCAAACAGACCUUUGUGUCCAAGUGAGGACCAUCCAAGAGAUCCGUACAAAGCUCAAAAGCUUUGGCUAGAAGAUGACUGUUCAAGUAUACAAACACACACACACACAUAAACUGUCUUGUGUUUGUAUUUAUUGUAUUUGCUGUAACAGACAAGAGAGAAGCAGAAGAAGAGGACGGAGACUGAAAGGGAGAAAAAGAAACGCACAUCCUUCCUCCCAGCUUAUUGACUUUAGAAAUACUAGAAGAGCUUUGAAAUGUCCUCUCUCUGGUCUUUGCUCCUUGUCUUUCGCUGCUGUCGUGUGCUCGCUUCCCUUCACAGUAGUUCACUAUUAGUCUGCAGCCUCAUGGUCAACGCUCGUCUGGACGUGAUGACGGAUGUUGUUUCUCUCUUUCAUCAUUCAUGAUCACACUGCACCCCAGCAAAUUAAUGAUACAACUAUUCCUCCCUCCCCCCUUCUUCUGACCUCCUUUCCUUCCCCCUCCCCCCGCUGCUCUCCGUCCCCCUCUGUCUCUCAUUCCGUUACGUCCCUCGCAGCCCCGCAGACGAGAUGGAGUCCUCGGACGACGAUACUCUGAGCGAGCGCUCCUGCGUCAGCGAGCCGUCCUUCCGUAGCGAGCGCUCGGCGGGGUCGCUGUCCCCGUGUCCGCCGGGUCCCGCGGGGCCCCCGGGAGACACGCUGCCGUGGAACCUGUCCAAACAUGAGCGCAGGAAGAGGAAGAGCCAGGACUCUGUACUGGACCCGGCAGAGAGGGCGGUGGUUCGCGUUGCAGGUAAGGGCAAGCCGCCAGAGCACUUCCCCGUGCCUUUGAGCAAGAGGCCGAGGCCCAAAGCUGUCGAGUGAGGCUGCGGUCAGGGUGUGCGGUGGAAAACUGACUAUGAACCCCUGACUCGAGCGCUUAUAUGGGCCGAAAAGUACAAAAAAUGACACUGCUCUUUCCACCAUUACACAUGUUGUAUUAAGUUUCCACUUCAUCCCCUUUGAAUCUCACAUCACAGCACAAGGCUGUAAAUAUCAGAAAGAUGGGAGGAGAAUCUGUUGGUGGUGUCUUAUUUUCAUACUGCUACUAUGACGACUGCCCCCUUCCCCUCUUCCUCGCCGUAGCAGAAGAUGGAGGAGAAAUGUAGGUUGCUCAGCUCUCUGGAGGAGCCAGGGUUCUCCUGCUCGUGUAACAACACUAGCAGCCUGAUUCUCCUCUGUCAGCGAUUAGGAAGCUCCCAGCUCAAUAAUGGAAGCAAAUGAUGUAAAAGUUGGAGUAGUUUUUAUCCACUCACUGCAUCUCCUGAUUGCGAUGAUUAUUUGCAGUUUGAGGCUUUUAUCAUAUAAAUGUGUGGUAGUGGAUGGAUGCCAGCAUUUAGCUAACACUCAGCAGCCUACGAUUGAUGGAGGAGUAUAAUAAACUCCAUCAUUAUAUUAUGUAAUUCAUCCGGAUUUCAUCCAAAGCGUCUCACGAUUAGAAUGGUCUCAACCAUGAGGGUAAAACUGCUGCGUUUAGACACACAGUUAAAUGCAUAUAUAUACUUUACAUUUGAAUUGAACCUAUUUGAAUUUCAUUUUGUUAUUAGUUUUAUGGUUUCAUGAUUUUAUAGUUUUACUAUAGAGAGCAGAGCAAACUAAAAAGGACCUGAAAAGCUCAAAAGCAACCAAAGGCAAUCACCCCAAAUAUCAUAUAAUUACCCAUAAAUUGAAGUCAGUCACUCACUGCUGCAGCUUCUAUCAUGAUUUCUUACUGAUAGUUACAACAGUCUAAUUUUAAAAAAAGGCAGCUGAAAUAAAGGAUCACUUCCAUGCGCUAUUUGUAAUGAUAAAAACACCCUCAAGUUAUUCUUCUUACACCAUCAACACGUGACGGCUCUUUGUUGUUUACACAUGAAAGACUAAUUACGAGCAGAUCUGAGAGCGCACUUGUGGAAUCAGUUAUCACACUGGUUUAAGAGGGUUGGCAUCUUCGCUUUUAUGUCCUGUGGUCUUCUUUCUUCAUCGCGUUGGUCCUUCUCAGCAGACCAGAUGAAGAAACAACAUAUACAAAUCGUCUCAUACUCAGGAUUUGUGAAUAUGAUACUGGGUGUCUUACUAAAAAUAGAUAUGAAAACUAGAUCUGAAGCUAAAAAUGAGAUGUGGGCCACUAAUCAUCCACCAACCCGCACUCCUGCCACCUCACUGUAGACUAAGCAUCCGGCAGUCUUGUAAACUGAUUUAUUUUAAGUCCUUUGCGUUAAGCAUGAACAUACAAAACAAAGUUGAAGUCUUUGAUUUUGCAAGUGACUUUUGGUGUUAUUUAUUUUGAUAUACUGGAUGUCCUGCAUCCGUAAAGGUUACCAGAUUCAAUCAUGAUGAACAUAUUGUUAGCUGUUGGCCUCAGAGCCCGGCUAAACGGAGACA